UACGUAGGGUGCAAGCGUUAUCCGGAAUUAUUGGGCGUAAAGAGCUCGUAGGCGGUCUGUCGCGUCAGGAGUGAAAACUCGGGGCUUAACCCCGAGCCUGCUUCUGAUACGGGCAGACUAGAGGUAUGCAGGGGAGAACGGAAUUCCUGGUGUAGCGGUGAAAUGCGCAGAUAUCAGGAGGAACACCGGUGGCGAAGGCGGUUCUCUGGGCAUUACCUGACGCUGAGGAGCGAAAGUGUGGGGAGCGAACGGG
rnacentral:rRNA from 1 species